rnacentral:rRNA from 1 species
GAGUUUGAUCCUGGCUCAGGAUGAACGCUGGCGGCGUGCUUAACACAUGCAAGUCGAACGAAGCGAUAGGAAGGAAGUUUUCGGAUGGAAUUCAUAUUGACUGAGUGGCGGACGGGUGAGUAACGCGUGGGUAACCUGCCUCAUACAGGGGGAUAACAGUUAGAAAUGACUGCUAAUACCGCAUAAGCGCACAGAAUCGCAUGAUUCGGUGUGAAAAACUCCGGUGGUAUGAGAUGGACCCGCGUCUGAUUAGCUAGUUGGUGGGGUAAAGGCCUACCAAGGCGACGAUCAGUAGCCGACCUGAGAGGGUGAUCGGCCACAUUGGGACUGGGACACGGCCCAAACUCCUACGGGAGGCAGCAGUGGGGAAUAUUGCACAAUGGGGGAAACCCUGAUGCAGCAACGCCGCGUGAGUGAAGAAGUAUUUCGGUAUGUAAAGCUCUAUCAGCAGGGAAGAAGAUGACGGUACCUGAUUAAGAAGCCCCGGCUAACUACGUGCCAGCAGCCGCGGUAAUACGUAGGGGGCAAGCGUUAUCCGGAUUUACUGGGUGUAAAGGGAGCGUAGACGGCAUAGCAAGUCUGAAGUGAAAGCCCAAGGCUCAACCAUGGGACUGCUUUGGAAACUGUUAAGCUAGAGUGCUGGAGAGGUAAGCGGAAUUCCUAGUGUAGCGGUGAAAUGCG